ACAUACUGUGCGAACGUUAUUCGGAUUUACUGGGCUUAAAGGGUGCGUAGGCGGCUUGUUAAGUAGGGUGUGAAAGCCCCCAGCUCAACUGGGGAAUUGCAUUCUAUACUGGUGAGCUAGAGUGAGAUAGGGGUGUGUGGAACUGCCAGUGGAGCGGUGAAAUGUGUUGAUAUUGGCAGGAACGCCGGUGGCGAAAGCGACACACUGGGUCUCAACUGACGCUGAGGCACGAAAGCCAGGGGAGCGAACGGGAUUAGAUACCCCGGUAGUCCUGGCCGUAAACGCUGAGUACUCGUUUGGAGCGACUGCGGUCGCUGCAGACUUAGAGAAAUCGUUAAGUACUCCGCCUGGGGAGUAUGGUCGCAAGGCUG
rnacentral:rRNA from 1 species